CCUUCCCCCUUGCUUAUGCCCCCUCAUCACCUGGCCUUCCCACCACUGUGGCCUAAUCUCUUCUUUUCCCUAUAGGACCCACCGGGCCUCACAGGCUCACGUGUGCUAACAACCCCAGGAAGCAUUUUAGGGGGAAGAAAGCAAGCAUUCUGCCUGAAAGAAUGUUUCCGAGGGAUAAAAGCUACCCACCACUUCUGGUCUAACUCUUCUAACGGUGUUGUGUGUGUGUGUUGGGGGAGCGCUGGCACCUUGCUGAGCAGGGCAUCAUAAAAGAUCAGAGCUGCUAUCAUCCCAGACGUCCUCCAUGGGACAUUAGAGAGCAGUAACACAAGCUAGGCUAGGUGGAGUCCCCUGCCUGGCCGCAGGAACAGCUCACCUGCUCACACGAGUUCAGUAAGCCUGUGAGGCAGAUAGGAGAGGCACUCAGAACAUACUGACAAACUGGGGAAUGGAUGUGGGUCGGAAGGAAGAGGACAGAAAAGAAUGCCAACAACAAGAUGAAGGAUGAAAAGCCUGGGCCAUAGGAAACAGUCACCUGAGGCACUAGGAGCAGGGGUCUCCCAUGCUGGGUCACUGAUGGUCCAGGGAUGUGAGCAUCCUGACCUUCCCACAUGUGCGGAGGAAGAGAGAAGUAAAUAAAAUGAAAGAGUGGCCGGACAGACUGGGGGUACCUGAGGCUUGCAGCAUUCCAAAUAGGCUCGGCUUUGUUCUUGUUGUUCUUAUGAUUCUUUGUUGUUUUUGUUUUUAAUGGGUUUUGCCUAAGCAGCCUAGGCUGCCUUGGAAUUUGCUACCCACUCAGCUGACCUAAACUUGGGGGGGGGGGGGGCCUCUGCCUCUGUC